rnacentral:rRNA from 1 species
AGCUACAGGCUUAACACAUGCAAGUCCUGGGGCAUCAGGAAGAAAGCUUGCUUUCUUUGCUGGCGACCGGCGCACGGGUGAGUAACACGUAUCCAACCUGCCCUUUACUCGGGGAUAGCCUUUCGAAAGAAAGAUUAAUACCCGAUAGCAUAAUGAUUCCGCAUGGUUUCAUUAUUAAAGGAUUCCGGUAAAGGAUGGGGAUGCGUUCCAUUAGGUUGUUGGUGAGGUAACGGCCCACCAAGCCUUCGAUGGAUAGGGGUUCUGAGAGGAAGGUCCCCCACAUUGGAACUGAGACACGGUCCAAACUCCUACGGGAGGCAGCAGUGAGGAAUAUUGGUCAAUGGGCGCUAGCCUGAACCAGCCAAGUAGCGUGAAGGAUGAAGGCUCUAUGGGUCGUAAACUUCUUUUAUAUAAGAAUAAAGUGCAGUAUGUAUACUGUUUUGUAUGUAUUAUAUGAAUAAGGAUCGGCUAACUCCGUGCCAGCAGCCGCGGUAAUACGGAGGAUCCGAGCGUUAUCCGGAUUUAUUGGGUUUAAAGGGAGCGUAGGUGGACUGGUAAGUCAGUUGUGAAAGUUUGCGGCUCAACCGUAAAAUUGCAGUUGAUACUGUCAGUCUUGAGUACAGUAGAGGUGGGCGGAAUUCGUGGUGUAGCGGUGAAAUGCUUAGAUAUCACGAAGAACUCCGAUUGCGAAGGCAGCUCACUGGACUGCAACUGACACUGAUGCUCGAAAGUGUGGGUAUCAAACAGGAUUAGAUACCCUGGUAGUCCACACAGUAAACGAUGAAUACUCGCUGUUUGCGAUAUACAGUAAGCGGCCAAGCGAAAGCAUUAAGUAUUCCACCUGGGGAGUACGCCGGCAACGGUGAAACUCAAAGGAAUUGACGGGGGCCCGCACAAGCGGAGGAACAUGUGGUUUAAUUCGAUGAUACGCGAGGAACCUUACCCGGGCUUAAAUUGCAGUGGAAUGAUGUGGAAACAUGUCAGUGAGCAAUCACCGCUGUGAAGGUGCUGCAUGGUUGUCGUCAGCUCGUGCCGUGAGGUGUCGGCUUAAGUGCCAUAACGAGCGCAACCCUUAUCUUUAGUUACUAACAGGUUAUGCUGAGGACUCUAGAGAGACUGCCGUCGUAAGAUGUGAGGAAGGUGGGGAUGACGUCAAAUCAGCACGGCCCUUACGUCCGGGGCUACACACGUGUUACAAUGGGGGGUACAGAAGGCAGCUAGCGGGUGACCGUAUGCUAAUCCCAAAAUCCUCUCUCAGUUCGGAUCGAAGUCUGCAACCCGACUUCGUGAAGCUGGAUUCGCUAGUAAUCGCGCAUCAGCCACGGCGCGGUGAAUACGUUCCCGGGCCUUGUACACACCGCCCGUCAAGCCAUGGGAGCCGGGGGUACCUGAAGUACGUAACCGCAAGGAUCGUCCUAGGGUAAAACUGGUGAAA